rnacentral:rRNA from 1 species
UAGAGUUUGAUCCUGGCUCAGAUUGAACGCUGGCGGCAGGCUUAACACAUGCAAGUCGAGCGGGGAAGGGUAGCUUGCUACCUGACCUAGCGGCGGACGGGUGAGUAAUGCUUAGGAAUCUGCCUAUUAGUGGGGGACAACAUUCCGAAAGGAAUGCUAAUACCGCAUACGCCCUACGGGGGAAAGCAGGGGAUCUUCGGACCUUGCGCUAAUAGAUGAGCCUAAGUCAGAUUAGCUAGUUGGUGGGGUAAAGGCCUACCAAGGCGACGAUCUGUAGCGGGUCUGAGAGGAUGAUCCGCCACACUGGGACUGAGACACGGCCCAGACUCCUACAGGAGGCAGCAGUGGGGAAUAUUGGACAAUGGGCGCAAGCCUGAUCCAGCCAUGCCGCGUGUGUGAAGAAGGCCUUUUGGUUGUAAAGCACUUUAAGCGAGGAGGAGGCUACUUGGAUUAAUACUCUAGGAUAGUGGACGUUACUCGCAGAAUAAGCACCGGCUAACUCUGUGCCAGCAGCCGCGGUAAUACAGAGGGUGCGAGCGUUAAUCGGAUUUACUGGGCGUAAAGCGUGCGUAGGCGGCUUCUUAAGUCGGAUGUGAAAUCCCUGAGCUUAACUUAGGAAUUGCAUU